UCAUAACUGGCAGAUGACCCCUAUUGAUUUUCAGGUCACUAGGUCAAAGGUCAAGGUUACAGUGACUUGAAACAGUUAAAUUGUUUCCGGAUGAUAACUCAAGAAUGCUUAUGCCUAGGAUCAUGAAACUUCAUAGGUACAUUGAUCAUGACUGGCAGAUGACCCCUAUUGAUUUUCAGGUCACUAGGUCAAAGGUCAAGGUCACAGUGACUCGAAAUAGUAAAAUGGUUUCCGGAUGAUAACUCAAGAAUGCUUAGGCCUAGGAUCAUGAAACUUCAUAGGUACAUUUAUCAUGACUGGCAGAUGACCCCUAUUGAUUUUCAGGUCACUAGGUCAAAGGUCAAGGUCACAGUGACUCAAAAUAGUAAAAUGGUUUCCGGAUGAUAACUCAAGAAUGCUUAGGCCUAGGAUCAUGAAACUUCAUAGGUACAUUGAUCAUGACUGGCAGAUGACCCCUAUUGAUUUUCAGGUCACUAGGUCAAAGGUCAACAUCACAGUGACUCGAAAUAGUAAAAUGGUUUCCGGAUGAUAACUCAAGAAUGCUUACGCCUAGGAUCAUGAAACUUCAUAGGAACAUUGAUCAUGACUGGCAGAUGACCCCUAUUGAUUUUCAGGUCACUAGGUCAAAGGUCAAGGUCACAGUGACUCGAAAUAGUAAAAUGGUUUCCGGAUGAUAACUCAAGAAUGCUUAUGCCUAGGAUCAAGAAACUUCAUUGAUA